CACGUGGGUAACCUGCCUGUAAGACUGGGAUAACUCCGGGAAACCGGGGCUAAUACCGGAUGGUUGUUUGAACCGCAUGGUUCAGACAUAAAAGGUGGCUUCGGCUACCACUUACAGAUGGACCCGCGGCGCAUUAGCUAGUUGGUGAGGUAACGGCUCACCAAGGCAACGAUGCGUAGCCGACCUGAGAGGGUGAUCGGCCACACUGGGACUGAGACACGGCCCAGACUCCUACGGGAGGCAGCAGUAGGGAAUCUUCCGCAAUGGACGAAAGUCUGACGGAGCAACGCCGCGUGAGUGAUGAAGGUUUUCGGAUCGUAAAGCUCUGUUGUUAGGGAAGAACAAGUGCCGUUCAAAUAGGGCGGCACCUUGACGGUACCUAACCAGAAAGCCACGGCUAACUACGUGCCAGCAGCCGCGGUAAUACGUAGGUGGCAAGCGUUGUCCGGAAUUAUUGGGCGUAAAGGGCUCGCAGGCGGUUUCUUAAGUCUGAUGUGAAAGCCCCCGGCUCAACC
rnacentral:rRNA from 1 species